AGCAGCCGCGGUAAUUCCAGCUCCAAUAGCGUAUAUUAAAGUUGCUGCAGUUAAAAAGCUCGUAGUUGAAUUUCGGGACUAAUAUGUCGGUCGUGCCUCGGUACGUACUGGUUUAUUGGUUUCUCCUUUCUGAAGAACCAUGAUGUCAUUUAUUUGGUGUCGUGGGGAAUCAGGACUGUUACUUUGAAAAAAUUUAGAGUGUUUAAAGCAGGCUCACGCUUGAAUACAUUAGCAUGGAAUAAUGAAAUAGGACGUUUGAUUCUAUUUUGUUGGUUUCUAGGAUCGACGUAAUGAUUAAUAGGGAUAGUUGGGGGCAUUAGUAUUCAAUUGUCAGAGGUGAAAUUCUUGGAUUUAUUGAAGACUAACUACUGCGAAAGCAUUUGCCAAGGAUGUUUUCAUUAAUCAAGAACGAAAGUUAGGGGAUCGAAGACGAUCAGAUACCGUCGUAGUCUUAACCAUAAACUAUGCCGACUAGGGAUCGGAUGAUGUUAAUUUUUUCAAUGACUCAUUCGGCGCCUUA
rnacentral:misc_RNA from 1 species